rnacentral:lncRNA from 1 species
UAUUUCUAUUUGUACGAUAAAUUUAUUGAAAAUGCGAUUUAACGUAAUACUUGUGACACGAAAUGUAAGUAUCCUGAGUAUAGUAAAAUGUUAGAAAUUCAUAAUUGUACUCGCUGCACAUUUACGUUGAAGAAAUUAGAGGAGCUUGCUAUGGUAUUCUAGUGUAUUAUUAUUUCUUCUGUUCCCUUUGUGUGCUUCUUUAUCUUUUAUUUUAUUUACCUUUUGUUCUGUUUAAUUGCAUUUUGCGCUUGACCGAAAUGAAACAACUCUUUGAAAUACAUAUCUGGAAAUACAGCAUUGCAUCAUUCCUAAAUGAAUCGUCAGGUUGUUAUACCCAGAUGAGAUAAUACAAUUACUCGAUAAUUACCGAAUUUUUCGAAGAAAUUCGGCGCGUCGUAUUUGUACAGUUAUCUACCUGUUGCCGCGAACGCGGCCAUCGAACGCUCUGUGGUGUAUGACGGAUAGAAAAAGGUGAUAAAAAUCAAUAAAAAGCGGAGAACGUUGAAUCGAAUUGAGUCGAUGAAAACGUAAAAGAAUUGUUAUUGUAUGAUAUGCAUGGCUUUUUAUUUGAAUUUUACGCUGAAGAUAUUCUUAAAAUACUACAAAUCUCUUUCUGCGCUGUAUAUAAAGUGAGGUUGGAACAUGAAAAAAUCAAGAACUGCAGCAAAGUUAAUCUAUUAAAGACGAAACAGUGAAAUACAUAAUACGAAAAUACGACAUAAUUGAACAAGGUACAAAUCGAACGUACGAAAGAAUUUCAAUGAUUUGAGAAAUGAUAAUCAUAAUAUUCAAAUUUUUUGAAAUUUUGUGGAAUCAAUGAGAGAGAAGAAAUAAGAACAAAAAGGAUAUUAGAGAUAUCUUUAGGGUUCCCUUGCAUAAUCACAAUCUAUUAAAGAGUAGUCAAAAGUAGUAACGCAAAUUGGCACGAAAAAAGUUGUAAAUGAAAUGUAGCUUUACAAAUGUCCACGUUUCGAUGUCUGAUUUUAAACUCCUCGUGUCACAUCCACUGCCAUAUUCUUAUACUCUUGCUACAAAGGUGAGGUUAUCUCGUAUAGUUGAGCUUCGUAACGAUUCGAGAGCUAACAAGAGGUAGUCUCGGUAUCAUUCUUAUCUACUUUUGCAUUCCCACGUCGCGCAAUGACGGUCGCACGGUUGAUUCUUACUUGGAUUCGCCUCGAAGAAGCUAAAUACUUCCCAAACGUCACAUUUCUAUUCUUCCACGCUCACUUGCACAAUUAAACUAAUAUUAUUCAUGAAAUUUCACAAGUCACAAUUUAUAAGGUAUUAGCAUUAACAAGUUUCCUCGUAUACAUAACCAGAAUAAGUUUAUCAAUAUUAAUAAACACUUUGAAUAGUAAUAAACAGUUUGUUGAUAAAGAAAAAUGAAAUUUUUCGAUUAUCCUAUUUGAUAAAAAAUUAUGAAAUUGUAAAAAGGAAGUUCAUAACUUGUAACUUACUCAUUCACUGAUAUUAUAUAAUAUAGUUAAUAAAUUAUUGUGCAAGAUUG